AUCCCUGAAGAAACAUCAAACUUGGUACUGUUAUUGCUACUGUGUGGUGAAACUUUCAUACAUGAUGUUACAUAUAUUCCUGACGAAGUUUUUGUUCUUAGAUCAGAAAAUCUAGACAGUUGUAUUAUACAUAACUGUUGUUCAGCUUUUGGUAGUGUAUAAAUUGGGAAAGUUGUUUACUUCAUUUCUUGCAUCGUAAAGGCCAUGAGUAUUCUAGAACAGUGAGGUGAAACAAAUGAAACAGACUAGAACAGUGAGAUAAAACGGAAUUCAGACCUGCUUGCUCAAACUUUUUAGAUAGUUCAUCUGCAGGGAGAAGCAUUGGUGAACCAUCAAACAUCUGGAAACGAACGAUGUCAACUGUUAGCUAUUUGUGGCUGUCCAGGAAAGUUUCAUGCCACAUUUAUGAUCAGAGCUUCUACAAUCGACUCUUCUAACAGGAGUAAUCAAAGAGUCAAAAUUAGGAGAUGUUACCUGCCUCUUGAUCGGGCAUCAACUAGUUGGUGAGCCUGCACAGCUACAUUGUAUUUGACCUGUUACAUGAACAAAUCAGCAUAACACACAGGGUGGAUCCUCAAGAUGUUAGUGUUACUGUCAAUAAUCUUUGAAUUUUUUGUUUGAGUAAAGCUAGGAUCUUCUCCAAAGAGGUUGAAACAAAGAUCAUGAGAUAGGAAUAAUCCCA